rnacentral:rRNA from 1 species
UACGUAGGGCGCAAGCGUUGUCCGGAAUUAUUGGGCGUAAAGAGCUCGUAGGCGGUCUGUUACGUCCGCUGUGAAAACCCAGGGCUUAACCCGGGGCUUGCAGUGGAUACGGGUAGACUAGAGGCAGGUAGGGGAGAAUGGAAUUCCCGGUGUAGCGGUGAAAUGCGCAGAUAUCGGGAGGAACACCGGUGGCGAAAGCGGCGCACUGGACCACAACUGACGCUGAGGCGCGAAAGCUAGGGGAGCAAACAGG